UUUUUUUUUUUUGAGAGAGAGAUAGGCAGCGUGUUAUCCGCUUCGUUUAUUUCAUUUAGAAGAAAAGUUAGCUGAAAAUGUUAAUCAAUUAUGAUUCGAAAUCGGGACCUUGGAUACCUACCAUCAAGUCUUUGACGACACUUUUUUGUUACUGUGUAAGGCUUAGUUUGGUAUUGAGGCCUAUUUAACGUUAUUAGAUAAAAUAGAGUUGAAGAAAAAGUAUAUAGGGAUAUGUUUUUCCGUUUUUCGGUAGAACUGCAGAAAAUAUAUCGUAAUCGACUCAUCGCAAUAUGCGGAACGUAAUAUUACGUACAGAAAGUAACAAGGUAUUUUUCCAACGUACUUUCUCACCGCACGUAACGCAAUCUCCCCGUAAUUCCAAACGAAGCGUAUCUGGAUUCUGGAGCAUUACUCUGAGG
rnacentral:lncRNA from 1 species